GCGGCAGGCUUAACACAUGCAAGUCGAGCGGUAACAGAGAUAGCUUGCUAUCUGCUGACGAGCGGCGGACGGGUGAGUAACGCGUAGGAAUCUACCUAGUAGUGGGGGACAACAGUUGGAAGCGACUGCUAAUACCGCAUACGCCUACGGGGGAAAGCAGGGGAUCUUCGGACCUUGCGCUAUUAGAUGAGCCUGCGUCGGAUUAGCUUGUUGGUGGGGUAAUGGCCUACCAAGGCAACGAUCCGUAGCUGGUCUGAGAGGAUGAUCAGCCACACUGGGACUGAGACACGGCCCAGACUCCUACGGGAGGCAGCAGCGGGGAAUAUUGCACAAUGGGCGAAAGCCUGAUGCAGCCAUGCCGCGUGUGUGAAGAAGGCUCUAGGGUUGUAAAGCACUUUCAGAAGGGAGGAAAGGUUGUAGGUUAAUACCUUGCAACUGUGACGUUACCUUCAGAAGAAGCACCGGCUAACUCCGUG
rnacentral:rRNA from 1 species